UACGUAGGGUGCAAGCGUUGUCCGGAAUUACUGGGCGUAAAGAGCGCGCAGGCGGUCGUUCAAGUCGCGUGUGAAAGCCCCCGGCUCAACUGGGGAGGGUCACGCGAUACUGAUCGACUCGAAGGCAGGAGAGGGUAGUGGAAUUCCCGGUGUAGUGGUGAAAUGCGUAGAUAUCGGGAGGAACACCAGUGGCGAAGGCGACUACCUGGCCUGUUCUUGACGCUGAGGCGCGAAAGCUAGGGGAGCAAACAGG
rnacentral:rRNA from 1 species